GACGAACGCUGGCGGCGUGCUUAACACAUGCAAGUCGAACGAAGUGGCGAACGGGUGAGUAAUACGGGGGUAACCUGCCCUCCUUUUUGGGAUAAGCCUUGGAAACGGGGUCUAAUCCCAAAUUAAGGGGGAUGGGCUCGCGGCCUCUCAUCUUUUUGGUGGGGUGAUGGCCUACCAAGGCGGUGACGGGUAGACGGGCUGAGAGGGGGACCGGCCACAUUGGUACUGCGAUACGGCCCAGACUCCUAAGGGAGGAAGCAGUGGGGGAUAUUGCACAAUGGGCGCAAGCCUGAUGCAGCGACGCCGUGUGGGGGAUGAAGGCUUUCGGGUUGUAAACCUCGUUCGCUAUCGAAGGGGUAGGUGGAGAAGAAGCGCCGGCUAACUACGUGCCAGCAGCCGCGGUAAUUC
rnacentral:rRNA from 1 species